GAUGGAGAACGCAGCGAAAUGCGAUAAGUAAUGUGAAUUGCAGAAUUCAGUGAAUCAUCGAAUCUUUGAACGCACAUUGCGCCCCCUGGUAUUCCGGGGGGCAUGCCUGUCCGAGCGUCAUUACAACCCUCAAGCUCAGCUUGGUAUUGGGCCCCGCCGACCCGGCGGGCCCUAAAGUCAGUGGCGGUGCCGUCCGGCUCCGAGCGUAGUAAUUCUUCUCGCUCUGGAGGUCCGGUCGUGUGCUCGCCAGCAACCCCCAAUUUUUUUCAGGUUGACCUCGGAUCAGGUAGGGAUACCCGCUGAACUUAAGCAUAUCAAUAAGCGGAGGA
rnacentral:misc_RNA from 1 species